GAUGGGGAAGAGGUAUCCUGAGUGGUAUUCUGGGCUCCUGUCUCCCUUCCUUCCUCAGCACCUGACUGUUCUCUCCCCACUCAGCAAUCAUGCUUAGUUCUUUUGUGGAUCAGGGUGUUGGCAAAAUCCCCUGGCUUUAGGGAGCCUCUGUUGCUUGCCGGUUUGAGUUUCCAUCCAAGAGUAAAUGGGCUUCCUUCCAGCAAACAAGCUGACAAGAGCAAACCAGCCACAGGAUGCUUGGCAGCUUCUGGGGAAAAGGGGAAGUGAAAGAUACAUUAUUGUCAUCUGGCUUCGGAGGUUCAGAGGAGCUUUGAAAUACUGGUCUAGGUUUCCCUGAAGACAUCUCAGAGCUGACUUUCAGGCUUCCUGUGUUGCUUUUCUUUGUAAUUGUCCAGGCUCUGCAGUUUCUGCAAACCAUCCCAGUACCUGUCAAGGUGUGCCUUGUUGGUACGUUUAACUGAAACUGGUGUGGGGGAGUGCUGUAGAGAAAGUCCUAUUUGGGUGGUUAAGUAACCUCCUCUAGAGAGUUCUUAGGCUUACAGUUCUGCAGAUACUGAAACCAAAGGAAAUCAGAAGAUACUAGAGGGCUUCAUGUUUCUGUAAACUAGUGGGUUUUGUUUUUCUUCAAAAAAUGAAUGCUUUGCGAUAACUCACUAAAGGGAAAAAUAAAGUGGAAGAGGGUUACCUAGCACCACCAGGAAGAUGAAAAAGCUGGUGAGAAUCCAAAUCUGGCAGAAACCAGAGAUCAGAACCUGCAUACCCAUUUUACAGAAGGGAAGAGAAGUGUUCUGUGAUAAGUGAGAUGAUUGAUUUUUCAGAGUCCUGCAGCUGGUUCAAGGCAGCAUGAGGCUUGGAAUCCCUUUCUCUCAGCUCCCUGUUGUGGUUAUUUUAGGACCUUGUUCUGUUUUCCAUAUGGUCUCUAAGCUAGACACCUGACCUGGUGGGAGUAACCUUUCAAACUUUUCACAUGAACCAAGAACAUACCCAAAUCAUAAGAAGAAAGAUUUCUAGAUGCUAAAAUGCCAGCUCCCUGCCAUGAGCAAAACCCUGUCCAUGGGGAUAAACUUUGAAGUAAAGCCAGGUGACCUUUUCUUGAAUGGGCUCCUUGGUCAGGAAGCCUAUUAGCUUGUCCAGAUGCCAGGGUUAGGAUUUUGUUUGUUUUCCUUUAUUAGGCGUCCUUACAGUAUAUGACCAACCCGUGGCUUUCAAGCUGUGGACAUCCGGCCUGGCUAGAUUUCUACUUUUGCUUGUUUGUUUGGGUUGUGUUCCCCUCCAUUUCUCAGAAAGUGAAAGAGAAAUAAGAGUUGGCAGAAUGUUGCGAAAGCACAUCACGUCUUUGGCGAAGCGAGGGGUGAGAAGGCCCUGAUGUGUCUUCAAGAUUUAUCUGGGGAACCCCCUAAUGCUACUUCUUAGAAACGCUUCUGCAUUAGAGCAGCCAGGUGCGGACGUGUUAACCUUUGGGGUUUCUGAAGGCCUUUGGUUUCUUCCUCUUGGUCUAAACAGAAGUUCAAAAAGGGAAAGAAAUGUAGUUUCAGGGGCGUGUUGGGCUGAGCUCCAAAAGAAAUUGGAUGGGAUCCCAGGUCUGGCGUAUCAGCAAUUUCCAGGCACUCGGGAGGGGAAGAGAUCUUGAGUCAACCAUCCAGCCUGCUCCUUAGAGGGCGAACCAGUUAGUGCCUAUUGGUGGGGACCCAUAAGUCAUCAGUGGCCACGUGAAUCUGUACUUGGAACUCUGACUCCUUUCCAAAGAACUUUCUACCACCUCUGCUGUUUUCCUGGUUUCUAGCUGGUGGUGAUGCUAUGCCCAGGGACUGGGUCCAGCUCAAGCCAGGACCAGACCUGCAUGGAUCGCUUAAAACCCUAUGUCUUCCCCAGGGAGGGAAGCCAUGUUCUGUUCAUUCUUCGAUCUCGAUGACAAUGGCAGCUAUGUAAUGUGCCAGGUUUUAAUACAUUCAUUAUCCCAUUUACACCUUACCAAUUAUCCAGAGAGAAUAGGUAUCAUCCCCCGUUUAGAGAUAAAGGGUCAUAGGUUAAGGAAGCUGUCCAAGAUCACAUCAGGCAGUAAGUAUGGAGCCCUGGAACUUAACCAAGAGCUCUGCGAUCUGACGCCCAAGCCCAGGUUCAUAACCGCUGCACCACAUUGACCCCAGGAAGGCUGCUCUGUAGGCAUAGAAAUUUGGGGAGGCUUCGAGGAGGGGAUGCAGUUGGACAUUUUAUCUCUAGAGGAACAGAGGAAAGAAGGAAAUUUUUUCCUUCCUGUCUACCUGAAAUAUUUGCUUUCUCAUAUUGAUCACUAUUGAAAUGGAGUCAGACAAGGCCUUGACUCUUAUGCUAAGCAGCUCUGGGUUUAGCUCAGCUUUGCCACUGACUAGCUCUGACUCGGACAAGUUAUUUAAUGCAUCUGAGCCUUAAGUUGCCCAUCGGUAAAAUGGGAAUAACCUACCUUACAGAUUUUGUUGUGAAAUUGCUAUGAUGUAGGCGCAUCUAAAGUGUUAAGCCCAGAGGCCAGCCAUAGUAGAUGCUGAUAAAAAUACCACCAGUUGUUAUUAUUAUCUUUGUAAAGUCCUCUGUAAUUUUCUUCCAAGUGACUGAACUGGCUUUUGCUUAAACACUUGACUUCUCAGGAAA